GGGGAAGGGGGAAGGCUGGCGCUGGGUUGGAAAUAGAAGCCGUCCGGGAGGGGAUGGUGAACACAGUAAGGGACAGCAAAUACAUUUCCUCAACGCUGUUGGUUUUUUCCUGUCAACUCAAGACUUUUCUCUCUUAUUUCUCAGAUUUUAUGUGUUUGGGUCCUUGCUCAUAUUCUCAUGAAGUUGUGGAAUGCAGUUCAGUUCAUCACACUCAACAGACCUUAUCGGAACCCGCUGUACCCAGAGUGCCAUUCAAAGGAAGGGGGAGGGGGAGGGGGAGGAAGAGGAAGGAGAAGAAGAAGAACUGUGCCCCCUCCCCGUCAGGAUUCCCACCCGGAAUAAUGCCAUGCUGGGGAAGGAGGAAGGACAUUCUGUUUCCAAACUGAGUCAGUCUGGGCCUUCAAGGGACUGUGGGAAUGUGGAAAGCCCUGAGCAGCUGCUGGAGUUCCCACCUGGCUGCAGGUAAGAAUGAAAUUUUUAAAAGACAUGAGAGAGCAAGAGUGAAAGUUGUGUUUGAUCACGAUCCAAAUGUCACGCGAGUUUAUGUCGGUUUCAAAUAGAUGAAUUUCUGAAUAAUCAUCCUAACUCCGCUCCCCCCUGCUCUGUGUAAGCUGCUGUGGGGGAACACGGUCAGCUUGCCUGGCGGGCGGCAAAGACCUUGGCGAUGGCACAGGUUUUAGAUGGCCCCUCCCCCCUUCAGACCAUUGGGCCUUACCAGUCUUCAUUUAGAUGAACAGUGCAAGCUUCUGUAAUUAACAUAUUGUCGUCAACUGGAAUGUGCUGGGGCUGCGAAUCGCAAUGUGUAAUUUAUUGUGAUUGGUCUUCACUGAAUGGGAUAGAAAAAAAGUAAAUUAGCCAUAAAUUUAGAGAGAUGCCACAUGGUAAAACUUGAUGGAAACUGCAACACUAGCAGAGAAAAGGCCAGCUCCCAAGAACACACAAGAGGAAAAUGGUAUUUCCUGUGAAAUGCCACCAGAUCCUCGCAGUAUAGCAAAAGCUGGGGUGUAAGGACCGGUGCUUCUGGUUUUUCUAAGAAAUGACGUGGUGGAGGCUCGGGGACCCUCCGGGAUGACGAGUGCACCACCCGUCACAGGCACUGGGCGAGGAGCUCAUGGAAACCCCUCAGAGCUCUCUGUGGGGCGUGCACGUGACUUGCCAGGAGGCUUGGAGGCUAAAGGCAGUGGGAGGUUUGCUGCUUUGCCUUCAAGCCUUAGCCGGUGCAAUUAUGGUGUCUUCGUCAGCCGGGGCUGCUAGAACAAAAUACCACAGACUGGGUGGCUUAAGCAGCACACACUUCUUUCUCUCAGUUCUGGAGGCUGGAAAGUGCAAGAUCAAGGUGCCAGCAGAUUGGAUUCUUGGCGUGGGCCUUCUUCCCAGCUUGCAGAUGGCCACCUUCUCGCUGUGUCCUCACAUGACAGAGAAAGGAAGCUCUGGAGCCUAGCCCUCUUCUUAUAAGGACACUGAUCCAUCACGAGGACUCUAUCCUCACAAACUCAUCUAAACAUGAAUUUCCUUCGAGAACCCCACCUCCAAAUACCAUCGCGGUGGGGCUAGAGCUUCCUCAUCGGAAUCUGGGGUGGCGGGCGGAACACUAUUCAGUCCACAGCACAUGGUAACCGUCCCGGGACACAGAGAAUAGACCCUCUGUCAGAUGUCCUCUCGCCUUCACCUUGGCCAACACCCAGCUGAGAAUGUAGAUGGCAGACAGAGCUGUUUCCUUUCGCACUCUCCAGGCUUUCAGGAGCCAAAGUGGGGGGAAGGAACGAGCCUGAGCAGCGGCGUGACCAGCGAGGACCUUCAAGUGUUAUUUGUUGGGAUGAGUGUGUCUGUAUGGGUGUCUUGUUCCAAAAAAGAUUUAAGGUGUUUGCAAAGAUAAAAAGCACUGGAAGGCGGUAAGAGAGAUGAGGUAAAAGGACAAGGAUAGAGACAAAAUAGAGGGCCGAGCCUUAAAAUAGAAGGCAAAUUAAAUCUAUUUUGCUUAACUAGGGAAAAGUGCCACGUUUUCUGGGAAGCCAGUGGCAUUCUGUUCCAUCUCUCUUUUAAAUUAAGAGAGAAGCAGUGUUAGUCUCAAUUUAGGGGCCUGCAUUUUGAUGAGUUUGCUGUGUUUUGGUUUUUGUUGGGUUCACUGACCUUAAAUCUCCAUUUCAAUAAGAAAAGCAGGCCCCAUCACAGCCAGUGAGUUUUCUUGUAGCCUCCUUCCUCUGGGGAUCUUUUGGUGGGGGAACUUGGCAACUCCUGAGGGUAGCAGAGGAAGUCAGAGGUUAAGAAUGAAUCAGCCUGUACAAUGCAGGAACUCCAAAAAAGAAGAUUCUGGAAAGAAUGGUCAUUUUACCUCUUGCAUUUAGAUGGCUCGUGAUUAAUGAUUUUCUUCUAAAAGGGAGUAAGACUAGGUAGGCAUCUUCCAGUAAAGCUAAAAGCUUCCUAAAUAAAACAGGAUUAUCAGGAUAAUUGACUUAACUUUUUCCUUUGGCUGUGUAGGCACAGGGAAACAAAAAAGGGCUUAUUCAAUUCUGUGAUAUUUUUAUUUGUUGGAACAAAGGCUGUCUUUUCUUUGAACCCCAAGCCUUGUUUGCCAAGGUUAUCUUUAUUCAAAUGCUCUGUAUUAAUAAGAAACACCUCUGUAGGCUUACACAGAAUAGACAUUUUCAGCUGCUGGCAUUAAAAAACAAAACAAAUAAGAAACAGGGAAGUCACACGAGUAUUAUAUUAAUAUUGUCUAAUGGUUCCCCAUUAUCUACAGGAUCCAGGCCAGUUUCUUAGCCAAGGAUGAAAGGCUUAACUACACUGACUCUUCCAACUUGGUAGCUCAUUUUUUUUUUUCUUUUAAGAUUUUAUUUAUUUACCUGAUUGAGAGAGGGAGAGGCAGACUCCCUCUGAUGUGGGGCAAGGAGCCUGAUGUGGGGCUCGAUUCCAGGACCCUG
ensembl:lincRNA